rnacentral:rRNA from 1 species
CCAGACUCCUACGGGAGGCAGCAGUGGGGAUAUUGCACAAUGGGGGGAACCCUGAUGCAGCGACGCCGCGUGAAGGAAGAAGUAUCUCGGUAUGUAAACUUCUAUCAGCAGGGAAGAAAAUGACGGUACCUGACCAAGAAGCCCCGGCUAACUACGUGCCAGCAGCCGCGGUAAUACGGGGGAUGCAAGCGUUGUCCGGAAUCAUUGGGCGUAAAGAGUUCGUAGGUGGCACGUUAAGUCUGGUGUUAAAUGCAGAGGCUCAACCUCUGUUCGGCACUGGAUACUGGCGAGCUUGAAUGCGGUAGAGGUAAAGGGAAUUCCUGGUGUAGCGGUGAAAUGCGUAGAUAUCAGGAGGAACAUCGGUGGCGAAGGCGGCCUGCUGGACUGCGACUGACGUUGAGGCCCGAAAGCGUGGGGAGCAAACAGGAUUAGAUACCCUUGUA